GUGCUUGCUUCAGCAGCACAUAUACUAAAACUGCAACGACACAGAGAGGAUAGCAUGGCCCCUGCACAAGAAUGACAUCCAAAUUUGUGAAGCAUUCAAUAUUUUC
ensembl:snRNA U6 U6 spliceosomal RNA